AACGGCCAUACCAUGCUCAAUAUACCGGUUCUCGUUAGAUCACCGAAGUCAAGCAUCAUUGGGCGCGGUCAGUACUUGGGUGGGUGACCACCUGGAAGAACACCGCGUGCCG
rnacentral:rRNA from 1 species